GACGAACGUUGGCGGCGUGCUUAACACAUGCAAGUCGAACGGAAAGGCCCUGCUUUUGUGGGGUGCUCGAGUGGCGAACGGGUGAGUAACACGUGAGUAACCUGCCCUUGACUUUGGGAUAACUUCAGGAAACUGGGGCUAAUACCGGAUAGGAGCUCCUGCUGCAUGGUGGGGGUUGGAAAGUUUCGGCGGUUGGGGAUGGACUCGCGGCUUAUCAGCUUGUUGGUGGGGUAGUGGCUUACCAAGGCUUUGACGGGUAGCCGGCCUGAGAGGGUGACCGGCCACAUUGGGACUGAGAUACGGCCCAGACUCCUACGGGAGGCAGCAGUGGGGAAUAUUGCACAAUGGGCGGAAGCCUGAUGCAGCAACGCCGCGUGCGGGAUGACGGCCUUCGGGUUGUAAACCGCUUUCGCCUGUGACGAAGCGUGAGUGACGGUAAUGGGUAAAGAAGCACCGGCUAACUACGUGCAGCAGCCGCGGUGAUACGUAGGGUGCGAGCGUUGUCCGGAUUUAUUGGGCGUAAAGGGCUCGUAGGUGGUUGAUCGCGUCGGAAGUGUAAUCUUGGGGCUUAACCCUGAGCGUGCUUUCGAUACGGGUUGACUUGAGGAAGGUAGGGGAGAAUGGAAUUCCUGGUGGAGCGGUGGAAUGCGCAGAUAUCAGGAGGAACACCAGUGGCGAAGGCGGUUCUCUGGGCCUUUCCUGACGCUGAGGAGCGAAAGCGUGGGGAGCGAACAGGCUUAGAUACCCUGGUAGUCCACGCUGUAAACGGUGGGUACUAGGUGUGGGGUCCAUUCCACGGGUUCCGUGCCGUAGCUAACGCUUUAAGUACCCCGCCUGGGGAGUACGGCCGCAAGGCUAAAACUCAAAGGAAUUGACGGGGCCCCGCACAAGCGGCGGAGCAUGCGGAUUAAUUCGAUGCAACGCGUAGAACCUUACCUGGGUUUGACAUGGAUCGGGAGUGCUCAGAGAUGGGUGUGCCUCUUUUGGGGUCGGUUCACAGGUGGUGCAUGCCUGUCGUCAGCUCGUGUCGUGAGAUGUUGGGUUAAGUCCCGCAACGAGCGCAACCCUUGUUCACUGUUGCCAGCACGUUAUGGUGGGGACUCAGUGGAGACCGCCGGGGUCAACUCGGAGGAAGGUGGGGAUGACGUCAAGUCAUCAUGCCCCUUAUGUCCAGGGCUUCACGCAUGCUACAAUGGCUGGUACAGAGAGUGGCGAGCCUGUGAGGGUGAGCGAAUCUCGGAAAGCCGGUCUCAGUUCGGAUUGGGGUCUGCAACUCGACCUCAUGAAGUCGGAGUCGCUAGUAAUCGCAAAUCAGCAACGCUGCGGUGAAUACGUUCCCGGG
rnacentral:rRNA from 1 species